rnacentral:rRNA from 1 species
CCUACGGGGGGCAGCAGUGAGGAAUAUUGGUCAAUGGGCGAGAGCCUGAACCAGCAAAGUCGCGUGAGGGAGUACUGCCCUAUGGGUUGUAAACCUCUUUUGUCGGGGAGCAAAAGCCGUACGUGUCCGGCUGUGAGAGUACCCGAAGAAAAAGCAUCGGCUAACGCCGUGCCAGCAGCCGCGGUAAUACGGAGGAUGCGAGCGUUAUCCGGAUUUAUUGGGUUUAAGGGGUGCGCAGGCGGAUUUUUAAGUCAGCGGUAAAAUCGUGGGGCUCAACCCCAUCCAGCCGUUGAAACUGGGGAUCUAGAGUGUGCGAGAGGUAUGCGGAAUGCGUGGUGUAGCGGUGAAAUGCAUAGAUAUCACGCAGAACCCCGAUUGCGAAGGCAGCAUACCGGUGCACAACUGACGCUCAGGCACGAAAGCGUGGGUAUCGAACAGGAUUAGAUACCCUAGUAGUC